rnacentral:tRNA from 1 species
GUCUAGGUAGUGUAAAGGGUCAGCACGGUAGACCGGAUAUCUAUAAGUGCAGGUUCGAGUCCCACCUGAGGUC